CUGCUGCCUUCCGUAGGAGUUUGGGCCGUGUCUCAGUCCCAAUGUGGCCGUUCACCCUCUCAGGCCGGCUACUGAUCGUCGCCUUGGUGGGCUUCUACCCCGCCAACCAGCUAAUCAGACGCGGAUCCAUCUUACACCACCGGAGUUUUUCACACUGAGCCAUGCGGCUCUGUGCGCUUAUGCGGUAUUAGCACCUAUUUCUAAGUGUUAUCCCCCAGUGCAAGGCAGGUUAUCCACGCGUUACUCACCCG
rnacentral:rRNA from 1 species